rnacentral:lncRNA from 11 species
GAGAUAGUGCUGAUAGAGGGAACUCAUCCAUGCUUUCUCUGGGUUGGAUUCGAACCGGCAACCUUCAGGGGCAGAGAAGCAGAUUGCUAAAACAGAAGAACGGCCUGCCUCAAUGUUUAACAUCUACACAAAUGACCAGCCAUUGCCAGAAGGCACAGAGAGUUUCAUAUAUGCUGACGAUCGUGC